rnacentral:rRNA from 1 species
UACGAAGGGGGCUAGCGUUGCUCGGAAUCACUGGGCGUAAAGGGCGCGUAGGCGGCCUCUGCAAGUCGACUGUGAAAUCUCCGGGCUUAACCCGGAAAGGUCAACUGAUACUGCAGGGCUAGAGUGCAGAAGGGGCAACUGGAAUUCUCGGUGUAGCGGUGAAAUGCGUAGAUAUCGAGAGGAACACCUGCGGCGAAGGCGGGUUGCUGGGCUGACACUGACGCUGAUGUGCGAAAGCCAGGGGAGCGAACGGG